AUCCCCAUGAGAAAAUUGAUACGAAACUCCCCGCAUACUACACGGCUGGUGACACGCUCAGCAAAUGAGGAGUCUGGGAAGAAAUCAAC
rnacentral:lncRNA from 1 species